rfam:Oryza glaberrima chromosome 2 Oglab02_0006_5, whole genome shotgun sequence.
AAUAAAUGCAGUUUUGCACUGUUCACGUUCAACGUUUGACCAUUCGUCUUAUUUAAAUUUUUUUUAUGAUUAGUAUUUUUAUUGCUAUUAGAUGAUAAAACAUUAAUAGUACUUUAUAUGUGACUAAAUAUUUUAAAAUUUUUCACAAAUUUUUUAAAUAAGACGGACAGUCAAACGUUGGGCACGGAUAUCCACGACUGCAUUUAUU